rnacentral:rRNA from 1 species
GACGAACGCUGGCGGCAUGCCUUACACAUGCAAGUCGAACGGUAACGCGGGGCAACCUGGCGACGAGUGGCGAACGGUUGAGUAAUGUAUCGGAACGUGCCCAGUUGUGGGGGAUAACUGCUCGAAAGAGCAGCUAAUACCGCAUACGACCUGAGGGUGAAAGCGGGGGAUCGCAAGACCUCGCGCAAUUGGAGCGGCCGAUAUCAGAUUAGGUAGUUGGUGGGGUAAAGGCUCACCAAGCCAACGACCUGUAGCUGGUCUGAGAGGACGACCAGCCACACUGGGACUGAGACACGGCGCAGACUCCUACGGGAGGCAGCAGUGGGGAAUUUUGGACAAUGGACGAAAGUCUGAUCCAGCCAUGCCGCGUGCGGGAAGAAGGCCUUCGGGUCGUAAACCGCUUUUGUCAGGGAAGAAACGCUCUGGGUUAAUACCUCGGGGUAAUGACGGUACCUGCAGAAUAAGCACCGGCUAACUACGUGCCAGCCGCCGCAGUAA